rnacentral:ncRNA from 1 species
GAAUGGAUUUCCAAUGAUUUGUCAAUAAUCCAUUUCUAUAAAAUGGAACAUUUAUCAUUAGACACAUAGAAGUUGGAUAAACCCAACAACCUUCCAUCCAGAUUCAACAAAAUUGAAACCCAUUUUUGAGAGUUGUUGGUGCCUCAUCCUAUAAUUGAUGACAAUGUUAGGAUCCAGAGACAUCGUCGGGGGCCCCAGGAAGAGUUAUCUUUUCUUUUUAACUUUCCCACCCUAAAAUAGGCUCAACCCGAGAUAGGGUCCAACAAUUGGAAGAGAAUCACACAUCUUGUGGUUUCUAGUGCACCCUCGGUGACCCUUGAAAAUAUGGAGGACCAAGUACCGUCCAUGCCCGGUCGUACUCAUAACCACAUCAGGUC